rnacentral:ncRNA from 1 species
UUCUUAUCGAGAGCGACCGAGGGACUGGCCCUGUGACGUCGCGGCAACCGGCCUUAAUCAGCGCGGUGCCAAUUCCAGCGAAUCCGUGCAAACGGUUUCGGGAGAUAAGGA